rnacentral:SRP_RNA from 2 species
UGUUGGUUCUCCCGUAACGCUACUCUGUUUACCAGGUCAGGUCCGGAAGGAAGCAGCCAAGGCAGAUGACGCGUGUGCCGGGAUGUAGCUGGCAGGG